UACGUAGGUGACCAGCGUUGUCCGGAUUUACUGGGCGUAAAGAGCGCGCAGGCGGUCGUUCAAGUCGAGUGUGAAAGCCCCCGGCUCAACUGGGGAGGGUCACUCGAUACUGAUCGACUUGAAGGCAGGAGAGGGAAGCGGAAUUCCCGGUGUAGUGGUGAAAUGCGUAGAUAUCGGGAGGAACACCAGUGGCGAAGGCGGCGACCUGGGCCAAUACUGACGCUGAGGUGCGAAAGCGUGGGGAGCAAACAGG
rnacentral:rRNA from 1 species